CUCAACCGCAAGGAGGGGGAUGCCUAAGGCAGGGCUAGUGACUGGGGUGAAGUCGUAACAAGGUAGCCGUACCGGAAGGUGUGGCUGGAUCACCUCCUUAAAGGGAGACCUAAUUCGGGUAUAAGACGAAAAAAUAGUAGUCGAAACCAAGAAUCAAUCCCAAAAGGUCGGAGCGAGGCGAAAUUGGCUUUCAAACUAGGUUCUGGGUUCAAACAAGACCUGAAUCAGGAACAAGGGCUAUUAGCUCAGGUGGUUAGAGCGCACCCCUGAUAAGGGUGAGGUCCCUGGUUCGAGUCCAGGAUGGCCCACCUGCACAGGUGGCAAAAACAAAGAAAAGAAGCUCCGAAUCAGCACCUUAUCUUACUUAUAUAUAGUAAGAGAGAAUGCUGGCUCUGAGUUCAGAGUCCAGAGGAACCUUGAAAACUGCAUAGAGCUAGGUGAAAAAGCCAAAAAAGAAGACCGCAAGGUCAAGCUAAUAAGGGCUAACGGUG
rnacentral:sRNA from 2 species